rnacentral:rRNA from 1 species
UACGAAGGGGGCUAGCGUUGCUCGGAAUCACUGGGCGUAAAGCGCACGUAGGCGGCUUUUUAAGUCAGGGGUGAAAUCCUGGAGCUCAACUCCAGAACUGCCUUUGAUACUGGGAAGCUUGAGUCCGGAAGAGGUGAGUGGAACUCCGAGUGUAGAGGUGAAAUUCGUAGAUAUUCGGAAGAACACCAGUGGCGAAGGCGGCGCACUGGUCCGGUACUGACGCUGAGGUGCGAAAGCGUGGGGAGCAAACAGG